UGGACAUUUAUUUUAAAGUUUCUUCUUACAGUGAAGACAACUUUUUUAAAAUGUCCUAGAGAAAUAUAGUAGAUCUCUGUGUAUCCUUUACAAGUAAAAAUGGAUACAUCGUUCCACUACUGACAUUU